rnacentral:lncRNA from 1 species
CCCCCAGGGUUAGCUGCCCGUGGCUGGUGAGCACCCAGUCCGCAGGCACAGGAGCGCACCUCGCUGGUCAGGGGCGCACCAGGCUGGGGACACUUCUCCUCACCAUCAUGGGCACAGCCCUGUGCUGAAUGCCGGUGCCAACCAGCUGGGAUUGAGGAAACAGUGCUUUUUGGAGGGCAUUUCUGACAACUGGAAAUACUUACAUGAUCCAUGGUCCUGGAGGAGUUGGGCACAUCAAGCUGCGAUGGAUGACCACACUGCAUGUGGAGGUGGAAAACUCUACUGGAGAACUUGUUGCAAGGCUACAGGUUCUUCUGUGGGUGUUUCUUUACACGAUCUAAGGAAGUUAAGAUCUGAAAGAGGAGACAGGACAAUUGAAGUCUGGUGUUCUCAUUCAGAAAAGCAUUUAAGCAUAUCUUGGAGAUUUUAUAAUAGGCAGUGCCUAAGGGCAUCAGCAAAUGGCAGUAAAUAAUGUUAGGAAAGGGAUGGAGAAGACAUCUGCAGACGCUGCUGUCCCACUGGGCACAGGCAGACCCUGACAUCCUCAUGUCUGGAUUUGUGUGGACUGCUGUGGUCCUCUCAUCUCCUAACGGCCAGGAGAGCUGGAGGCUGGUCACUGAAAGCUGAUCAAAGAUGCUGGAAAUGACCAAGUGGGUUUGGGCUUCCAGGCUGGCUGGGAGACAGCUGAGGGCUGUAACAGAGGCUGCAGGUGGAAGCCAGCUCAGGCCUCCAGGUGCCUUUCAGGAGUCGAUUAUUCCCUGUUCCUAUGCAAGGACCAGAGGGCACUAUGCUUGCAGAAGGCAAGGCUCGGAGCAGGCAGGCACAAAGUGCUUCCCUCACACAAGAGGUAGCUAAACUGUGCUCCUCCUCGGUGCCACAAGUUUGUGCGGGUUCAAAUGGCAGCUGAGCGGGAUCGCUGAUGAGAUGAAGGCUAUUAAAUACAAAGGACUGACCUCUGCCUCAGGAAAUCCCUCAGCUGCAAAUAGUCAAAUUGCUGGGAAAGUGUUCUGGGGAAAUAUCACUGGAUGUUUGCUCUGUGCUUAAACUCUUCCCUGAGAUAGAUGGCUCUUUGAUAUAAGCCGGGACAGCCAUUCCUGUGCUUUGUUCAGGGCUUAUGUAUCUGUUCCUGGCAACUGACUUCAGUGGGAAUUAAACACCGCCGAAGUGGGCUCUGAGUGUAUUUCCUUGCACUCCGAGGUGAGGGUGAGCUGUUGGAAGGCGAUGUCCUCUUCCCUUUUGUUUUGUCCUGUUGGAGUCUCCCUGAUCAGGUCAAACUUUAGUGAGCUCACGUUCAAACCACGAGCGGUGAUACAGAACUCAGGCUGAGUAGAAGAUGAUGAGAAAGAAAAAAUGCAAGUACCAACAAAAUUAUAUCUACUGGAUGUUGUGUAUUUGUGCAUAUAGCAUGUGCGGUUAAAAUAAAAGUGAAUGCGAGAUUGUUAGCA